UAGGGAAUCUUCCGCAAUGGACGAAAGUCUGACGGAGCAACGCCGCGUGAGUGAAGAAGGAUUUCGGUUCGUAAAACUCUGUUGUUAGAGAAGAAAAAAUGUAUAGUAACUAUAUACAAAAGAGACGGUACCUAACCAGAAAGCCACGGCUAACUACGUGCCAGCAGCCGCGGUAAUACGUAGGUGGCAAGCGUUGUCCGGAAUUAUUGGGCGUAAAGCGCGCGCAGGUGGUUUAGAAAGUCUGAUGUGAAAGCCCACGGCUCAACCGUGGAGGGUCAUUGGAAACUAAUAAACUUGAGUGCAGGAGAGAAAAGUGGAAUUCCUAGUGUAGCGGUGAAAUGCGUAGAGAUUAGGAGGAACACCGGUGGCGAAAGCGGCUUUUUGGCCUGCAACUGACACUGAGGCGCGAAAGCGUGGGGAGCAAACAGG
rnacentral:rRNA from 1 species